rnacentral:rRNA from 1 species
AUUGAACGCUGGCGGCAUGCCUUACACAUGCAAGUCGAACGGUAACAGGUCUUCGGAUGCUGACGAGUGGCGAACGGGUGAGUAAUACAUCGGAACGUGCCCGAUCGUGGGGGAUAACGAGGCGAAAGCUUUGCUAAUACCGCAUACGAUCUACGGAUGAAAGCGGGGGAUCUUCGGACCUCGCGCGGCCGGAGCGGCCGAUGGCAGAUUAGGUAGUUGGUGGGAUAAAAGCUUACCAAGCCGACGAUCUGUAGCUGGUCUGAGAGGAUGAUCAGCCACACUGGGACUGAGACACGGCCCAGACUCCUACGGGAGGCAGCAGUGGGGAAUUUUGGACAAUGGGCGAAAGCCUGAUCCAGCCAUGCCGCGUGCAGGAUGAAGGCCUUCGGGUUGUAAACUGCUUUUGUACGGAACGAAAAGCCUCUUUCUAAUAAAGAGGGGUCAUGACGGUACCGUAAGAAUAAGCACCGGCUAACUACGUG